UGGGGAAUUUUGCACAAUGGGGGAAACCCUGAUGCAGCGACGCCGCGUGAUUUAGAAGGCCUUCGGGUUGUAAAAAUCUUUUCUAUGGGAAGAAAAUGACAGUACCAUAGGAAUAAGGACCGGCUAAUUACGUGCCAGCAGCCGCGGUAAUACGUAAGGUCCGAGCGUUGUCCGGAAUCAUUGGGCGUAAAGGGUACGUAGGCGGGUAAGCAAGUUAGAAGUGAAAUCCUAUAGCUCAACUAUAGUAAGCUUUUAAAACUGCUCAUCUUGAGGUAUGGAAGGGAAAGUGGAAUUCCUAGUGUAGCGGUGAAAUGCGCAGAUAUUAGGAGGAAUACCGGUGGCGAAGGCGACUUUCUGGCCAUAACCUGACGCUGAGGUACGAAAGCGUGGUUAGCAAACAGG
rnacentral:rRNA from 1 species